rnacentral:rRNA from 1 species
UACGUAGGGCGCAAGCGUUAUCCGGAAUUAUUGGGCGUAAAGCGCGCGUAGGCGGUCAUUUAAGUCUGGGGUGAAAGGUUCAACGCUCAACGUGAACAGUGCCUUGGAUACUGGGUGACUUGAGUUCGGGAGGGGGCAGUGGAAUUCCAGGUGUAGCGGUGAAAUGCGUAGAUAUCUGGAGGAACACCGAUGGCGAAGGCAGCUGCCUGGCCCAGAACUGACGCUGAGGUGCGAAAGCGUGGGGAGCGAACGGG